GACGAACGCUGGCGGCGUGCUUAACACAUGCAAGUCGAACGGUGAAGCAGAGCUUGUUUUGUGGAUGAGUGGCGAACGGAUGGGUAAGUAGUGAGCAACCAGCCUCUGAUUCUGGGAUAAGCGCUGGAAAGGGCGUCUAGCUCAGGCUGUGUGCUGACUCCGCAUGGUAAGCAGUUGGAAAGAUUUUUCGGUUUGGGAUGGGCACACGGCCUCUCAGCUUGUUGGUGAGGUAAUGGCGCAGCAAGGCGUCGACGGGUAGCCGGCCUGAGAGGGUGACCGGGCACACUGGGACUGAGACACGGGCCAGACUGCAACGGGAGGCAGCGGUGGAGAAUAGUGCGCAAUGGGCGGAAGCCUGAUGCAGCAACUCCGCGUCGGAGAUGUCUGCCUUCGGGUUGUAAACCUGUUUUAGCAGGAAAGAAGCGAAAGUGACGGUACCUGCAGAAAAAGCGCCGGCUAACUACGUG
rnacentral:rRNA from 1 species